rnacentral:rRNA from 1 species
UACGUAGGUGGCAAGCGUUGUCCGGAAUUACUGGGCGUAAAGCGUGCGCAGGCGGUUCGUUAAGUUCGUUGUGAAAGCCCCGGGCUCAACCUGGGAACUGCAAUGGAAACUGGCGGGCUUGAGUGUGGCAGAGGGGGGUGGAAUUCCGCGUGUAGCAGUGAAAUGCGUAGAGAUGCGGAGGAACACCGAUGGCGAAGGCAGCCCCCUGGGCCAACACUGACGCUCAGGCACGAAAGCGUGGGGAGCAAACGGG